UGGAGAAAAUGCUGCUUUCUGGCUUAAGGAACUGGAAUCCUUGGACUUUGCAAAAGCUGUCAUCUACCAUUUUCCUGGUGGCCUCCUGGCCCUGGGAUCUCUGGAGGGCGCCCCUCGCUGGGCUAGCCGUCACUGACCUCAAUGUCCAAACAUAGGUUAGAACACCUCUGUGAGUCCAUCCGGGCAGGGUGAGAAAGUUCCUGUUCCUACCGUGUCAAGAGUGAAGGUGACGGGGAGGAUGCUUCCUCCCCCUGCAUUUUGUCACGAGCUAGGUCAAAGAAAGAAAUUGCUUUUAUUCUAUUACCAGACAAAACCCGUAAAGAACAAAGGAGGACAUUCACUUAUGCUUUGUUUCAACUCUUCUCUUGAGAGGGGUCAAUUUCUACAUGCUGUGGAAUUAAAGACUAGGUUGGAGAUACCAUUCUGAAGGACCAGCCCCCUGUUCCAAACCACGGAAGCAUUUCGUUGCUCACGCAGACAAAUCUCUGACUGGCCCACGUAACUAGCCCUCCCAAUAUGCCUGGUCACAGCCCCACGGUUGUGGGGAGAUCUUGGCUGGAGACUAGGUCUCCUGAGACACAGAGACGAGGGAGGUUAUAUUGAAAGGGCUGCCCUGGCCUGGAGAGCCAAUGGGUUACUCACUGGGAAAUCGGCACGCUGAUAGAAAUUUAUAAAAGCUCCGUUCCCAAAGGAGCUCGGUUUGUGUUGACUGGUCACGUCCAUUUGAAAUGGCUUUGCCGUGAUCCCUGUUCUCCAGGAGGUGAGGCUAUCACUAGAGCCAGGCCGAGCUGUGAUUGAUGGUUCAUUCUUUCUGUUCUCGGUAAGACCCAGGCGGAGGGCUGAGGGUUGCCCUGGGGAGACACUGGGCGAGACUUCCACAUUUAUCUGCAUCAGGGCCGGCAGACACAGUAACUGCAUUUGCUCCAUUUCCUAUACAAUUUAUAGGACGAUCAUUAAGCAGCAGGAAAGGACAGAGGUCAGAAUAUGUGAGAACGUCAGUGAAAGUUCUCGGCUGGCCGGUGGGAUCAAAAGGAAUCAGAAAGGUCCGCCGCAAGGACUUACGCAACGGCGUGAAACAAGGCCGUAAACCCCUCCGUGAUUCGUCAGCCUUUGAGCCAAUAUUCUUCAGGAGAUUUUGUUACAAAACCGAGACCAUCAAGCCCGUCAAUAAAGACUGCCUAAUCACACUGUCGCCACGUGGUAUGUAUUAUACGUUUAAGUCUCAGCCUCACAGGAGUCCGCAUCGAAGAGGUUCCGUCCAGCACGAUCAAGAUGAAUGUCUGGCCCGUAUCAGACGCUGAUGCGUUUCCAGUGACGUUCCAGGAAGCUCUCCUCCGUGCUGACUUAGAGACCCUGCUUCCUUCCUUCCUUCUUGUGGCCCUACCAUCUCAACCCGUGACCCCCACGGUCAUGGCCGAAGGGGACAAGUUACUUGAGAAACAGCAGGUGCAGGAAGGACACUUUGCACCCCCUUUGGCCCCAGAUAAGACAACGAACCAUGUCACUUCUUCAGCAUUUACCGCCCAUAGCCCAAAGCCCUUUGUCUUAUCAAUUCUUCACAAAUUUACUUUUGGUUUUUGUUUAAAAACGGAUUUGUUUAAUGACAGAUGAGCAAACACAUGAGGGGCACCUGGGUGGCUCAGUCGGUUAAGCGUCCGACUUCCACUCGGGUCACGAUCUCACAGUCGGUGAGUUCGAGACCCGCGUCGGGCUCUGUGCCGACAGCUCGGAGCCUGGAGCCGGUUUCAGAUUCUGUGUCUCCCUCUCUCUCUGCCCCUCCCCCGCUCAUCCUCUCUUUUCUCCCUCUCUAAAAAAAUAAAUAAACAUUAAAAAUAAUUUUUAAAAAAACAACACAUGAAUGGAUGUGCUAAUUCAUUCCAUACCAUUCUGGCACAUUUGCUCAUACUCCCUGGCCCUGCCCUGACAGCUCAUCCCGGGAUAGGUCAAGUUGGGAAUUCUACUCCGGGAAUUCUACAUUAUGUUGGCUUGGAGGGGACAGAGCAGAAAGGCUAUGGACAGCAGGAGAGGAAUAGAAAGGUUUUAAAUGAGGAUGGCCAAAGGUUUCUGCCAGGAGAGAGGAAGAACAGGAAAGGGUCAGCACAGCUUUCAGAAUAAAUGAUCCCAGAUUUUAGCCAGCAAAACGUGGUUCGUGUUAUCCCCACAUCUCUGCCGAUGGCCUUCUCCACGUCACAGCCAUUUGGAGAUCAUUUGAAGCCCAUUCCGUAAUUGUUCUUGUGCUAAGCUUCCUUUAUGCAGAAAAACGAUAAUGCAGUUAGGAUGCUCUCAAAAGUCCUGGGGGAAAUUAAUUUGUUUACAGGAUUGUGUUUCAUCGUGUGGCGAAACCAACAAGGAACGACCGGCCCUGUCUGAAGGGCCGAGUGGAGCCACCAGGCAGGCGACGUUUGCAGGGUCCGUCUUCAACCACGGCCGCCCAGACACGUCAUUCUUUGGAGCGCUGGGUGUCGUCGUCAAAUCCUCCCACGGUGCUGUUCUCGGUCACACGCGCUCGGCUCUCCGUUCCGGAGUCUGUUAGCCUUCCCGGGCCCGAUGCGUGCCGCACGGACAGACACCCUUCGGCAAUCAGUCCCUGCCGUUUCCCUGUCCACGUCCUCGUGAAGCUUUUCUCUCUGCUUUGCAACCGCCCAGGUGGUUUCCUGACGCUGGGCGUUAUUCCUACUCCCUGCGCCUUGCUCUGGAAGGGAAUCGGGACAGCGUUCAAGCGGAUGGCACAGGGGGCACCGAGGUGAGAUACAAGCUCACGUCAGCGAGAGGCCUUGUAUCCUGUGAGAGCGCACCCAACAGGAAAAAUCUCCAAGGGACGGCACCUAAUGGCACCUCUGUCUCCUCGGUCACGUAGUCCGCAUUAUCACAGUUUCCAAAUUAGCAGUGUAGAAACGUAAUAAGACGCUAUCAUAAUCAGCGACGGUUUGUCUUCCUUUUUUAACCCCGGGAAAAGUACCGUUUAACGAAUUUCUUCUCUCCUGCAGUUGGGCUGGGCCCGCACGUUCAAUUCCACGGCACCGCCCGGUUCAACGAUCAGCCUGCUUCCCCGUGAGCUCUGGGAAGGAAUCCCUGGAUCUCUGGGCCUUGGCAGGCUUCUUCCCCCACCCACAGCCGACUGCGGUGAAUGCACACAGUUAGAUGCCGUACGGGCGAUCGGCCACUGCUCAAGCUUGUUGUGGCUCCUCAGGAAGAAGGAAGGCAUUUUUGAAGUUCUAUUUGUAUUUGCGGCAAUGUUACAGAGCACACAGAGCGUGUCUAUCGUGCAGUUAAGAAAUAGCCUUGCAAAAAAAAAGAAAAAGAAAUAGCCUUGCAGUAUACCUCCUUUGCAAAUUCUUUACACGAAUCAGGUCAGUUAUCAUGAAAUGAACAGUUCUGAAACCACUCUAAUCACACUUUGAUGCUGAAGUUACGAUAAGGUUAAUGAUCGCGGUACUAAGGGUCAUGACACUUGUUCGUACAGAAUCGCUAAGCUCGAACCAU